AUGGCCCUGUUUGCCUCCUUAUUCCUGCUGCUGAUUGGGCCUGCAUAUGUCUUAUCCCAGGUUACCCUGAAGGAGUCUGGACCUGCGCUGUUGCAGCCUUCCCAGACUCUCAGUCUGACCUGCUCUUUCUCUGGGUUUUCACUGAGCACUUCUGGUAUGGGUGUGAGCUGGAUCCGCCAGCCCUCAGGGAAGGUUCUUGAGUGGCUGUCAGACAUUUGGUGGAAUGAUGAGAAGUACUACAACCCAUCCCUAAAGAAUCGGCUCACAAUCUCCAAGGAUACCUCCAAAAACCAGGUGUUGCUCAAGGUCACCAGUAUGGACACUGCAGAUACUGCCACAUACUACUGUUCUCAGAGAGCACAGAGACACAGCCUCGGCUGA